rnacentral:rRNA from 1 species
GUAGGUGGCAAGCGUUGUCCGGAUUUAUUGGGUUUAAAGGGUGCGUAGGUGGUUCCAUAAGUCAGUGGUGAAAUACGGCAGCUCAACUGUCGAGGUGCCAUUGAUACUGCGGGACUUGAGUACAGACGAGGUAGGCGGAAUUGACGGUGUAGCGGUGAAAUGCUUAGAUAUCGUCAAGAACACCGAUAGCGAAGGCAGCUUACUAGACUGUAACUGACACUGAGGCACGAAAGUGUGGGGAUCAAACAGGAUUAGAUACCCUGGUAGUCCACACUGUAAACGAUGAUUACUCGAUGUUGGCGAUACACAGCCAGCGUCUUAGCGAAAGCGAUAAGUAAUCCACCUGGGGAGUACGCCGGCAACGGUG